AUUAAUAACACAUGGAAGAGUCAAACUUCCUGGAUCCUUCACUUUUCAGGUUGGAUAGAAAUUUCUUGUUCUUCUUCAUCAAAAUCUAUCACCUCUCCAAGAUAAUAUUUUAUUCUCUUAGAGUAAACAGGAAUUUGUUGAGAUACUGAAGGCACAACAGUCACUUGAUUAAAAAUCUCUCUGAACUGUCCACAGUAAUUGUUUUUUCUUUUUUCCUCUUCUUCUCCCUCACUGCUUUCUAGCUCAACAAUCUCUUUUUCUUCAUCCUUCUCACUACUCUCUAUUUCAACAGCUUCCGCAUCUACUUUCCUCUUGCUUCUAGUUACAACAACUUUGCAUUUCUCUUUAGGGUUAACAUCAGUGUUAGCCCUAAAUUGGUUUUUCUCUAUGGUUUCCACCCUU
rnacentral:lncRNA from 1 species